GACGAACGCUGGCGGCGUGCUUAACACAUGCAAGUCGAACGGAAAGGCCCUGCUUUUGUGGGGUGCUCGAGUGGCGAACGGGUGAGUAACACGUGAGUAACCUGCCCUUGACUUUGGGAUAACUUCAGGAAACUGGGGCUAAUACCGGCUAGGAGCUCCUGCUGCAUGGUGGGGGUUGGAAAGUUUCGGCGGUUGGGGAUGUACUCGCGGCUUAUCAGCUUGUUGGUGGGGUAGUGGAUUACCAAGGCUUUGACGGGUAGCCGGCCUGAGAGGGUGACCGGCCACAUUGGGACUGAGAUACGGCCCAGACUCCUACGGGAGGCAGCAGUGGGGAAUAUUGCACAAUGGGCGGAAGCCUGAUGCAGCAACGCCGCGUGCGGGAUGACGGCCUUCGGGUUGUAAACCGCUUUCGCCUGUGACGAAGCGUGAGUGACGGUAAUGGGUAAAGAAGCACCGGCUAACUACGUG
rnacentral:rRNA from 1 species